rnacentral:rRNA from 1 species
GACGAACGCUGGCGGCGUGCUUAACACAUGCAAGUCGAACGGAAAGGCCCUGCUUUUGUGGGGUGCUCGAGUGGCGAACGGGUGAGUAACACGUGAGUAACCUGCCCUUGACUUUGGGAUAACUUCAGGAAACUGGGGCUAAUACCGGAUAGGAGCUCCUGCUGCAUGGUGGGGGCUGGAAAGUUUCGGCGGUUGGGGGUGGACUCGCGGCUUAUCAGCUUGUUGGUGGGGUAGUGGCUUACCAAGGCUUUGACGGGUAGCCGGCCUGAGAGGGUGACCGGCCACAUUGGGACUGAGAUACGGCCCAGACUCCUACGGGAGGCAGCAGUGGGGAAUAUUGCACAAUGGGCGGAAGCCUGAUGCAGCAACGCCGCGUGCGGGAUGACGGCCUUCGGGUUGUAAACCGCUUUCGCCUGUGACGAAGCGUGAGUGACGGUAAUGGGUAAAGAAGCACCGGCUAACUACGUG